rnacentral:tRNA from 1 species
GCGCUGGUUGUGUAAAGCGUAGCAUCGCUGCUCGGAAAGCAGAAGGUGCGGGUUCGACCCGCCUGGCGCA